rnacentral:rRNA from 1 species
CCUACGGGGGGCAGCAGUGAGGAAUAUUGGUCAAUGGACGCAAGUCUGAACCAGCCAUGCCGCGUGCAGGAAGACGGCUCUAUGAGUUGUAAACUGCUUUUGUACGAGGGUAAACGCAGAUACGUGUAUCUGUCUGAAAGUAUCGUACGAAUAAGGAUCGGCUAACUCCGUGCCAGCAGCCGCGGUAAUACGGAGGAUUCAAGCGUUAUCCGGGUUUAUUGGGUUUAAAGGGUGCGUAGGCGGUCGGAGAAGUUAGAGGUGAAAUCCCGGGGCUCAACUUCGGAAUUGCCUCUGAUACUGGUCGGCUAGAGAGUAGGAGCGGUAGGCGGAAUGCAUGGUGUAGCGGUGAAAUGCUUAGAGAUCAUACAGAACACCGAUUGCGAAGGCAGCUUACCAAGCUACAUCUGACGUUGAGGCACGAAAGCGUGGGGAUCAAACAGGAUUAGAGACCCUAGUAGUC